rnacentral:rRNA from 1 species
AUGAAGGAGGAGAAAGAAACAAUAGUAACGUGGUCCCGGGCAUCUAGCAUUCUACCCACAAUGGUUGGCCAUACAAUCGCGAUUCAUAAUGGAAAGGAACAUAUACCUAUUUACAUAACAAAUCCUAUGGUAGGUCGCAAAUUGGGGGAAUUCGUGCCUACUCGGCAUUUCACAAGCAAUGUGACUAAUGAGUUAGUUGCGGGAUGA